rnacentral:rRNA from 1 species
UACAGAGGGGACUAGCGUUGUUCGGAAUUACUGGGCGUAAAGCGCACGUAGGCGGCUUUGUAAGUUAGAGGUGAAAGCCCGGAGCUCAACUCCGGAACUGCCUUUAAGACUGCAUCGCUUGAACGUCGGAGAGGUAAGUGGAAUUCCGAGUGUAGAGGUGAAAUUCGUAGAUAUUCGGAAGAACACCAGUGGCGAAGGCGACUUACUGGACGACUGUUGACGCUGAGGUGCGAAAGCGUGGGGAGCAAACAGG